CCGAAAAUCUAAUUCAUGACUUCCAACCACAUUAGAAAAUCCUUCCAAGAAUAACUUAUUCUAAAAUUCAAACAAGACAAUCUAAGUCAUAUAUUUUCAAAUAAAAUAUAUUAUUUAGUAGUGAAAUAUAUUAUCCUGUCAAAUAAUGAAUAUCAUGCCCUUCAAAAAGCAAAAUUCAACCUCCCACAUUUUAAUUAUAUAUAAGAAAAUAUUUAGUGUAUAAAUUAUCAUUAAAUAACUUAUUCCAACAUUAACAAUAUGGAUGCAGAUUAUUAUUUGAAUUAAUCCCAUGCGUAUGGAUUCCUCCACACCGGAUUGUAGCGAAUGCAUUCCCCACUAGGGGCAUGUUUGUUUCAACGUAAGUAGAUUUGGGGUGGAAGUAGAAUUUCGGUUGAAGUAGAGUUGGGGUGAAAAUUAAUUCACUUCCGCUGUUUGUUUCUAGCUGUAACCAGUUUUGCGAAUUCUGUUGUUUGUUUGGUAGGAAAUAGAUAACGUUAAAGUGUAACUCUUCAUCCCCGGUAUACUUAUCUCCGAAAUGAUAUCAUUUGUCUAUUUUGUAACUUAGUGAAUAAUAAAUAAAAAUUAAUAUAAUUAUAUAUGUAUAUAAUUAUAUAUAUGUAUAAUUAUAAAAUAAAAUUUUAAAAAAUUUGAUUAUUUGUUUGCAUAUAAAUUAUAAUAAUACAACAAAUAAAAUUCUAAAGUUAAAAAAUUAUUAACAUUUAACAAAUUCAUUUUUCAUCAUUUUCUAAAUAUACAAAUUAAACAAAAAAUAUAUUAAAACUUACCUAAUCAAAUUUGAUCAUAUUUUAGACAUACAAUCAAAAUAAAAAAAUUUAAUUACUUCCACAAUUAAAUAUAUUUGGAUGAAAUAAAACUAGCAUUGCUUUGGCGGUGAAAGAAAAAUGAGGAGUUUUUUUUUUUUUCGUAGUGUCUGCUGAGAAAAAUAAAAAAAUGGCGAUGUGGAGUUGGGCCUGGACGUCGCCCCAACACAUUAAUUUCCACUCUUGCUUCUUUUCACCUCACCGAAAUUGACUUCGCCCCAUGGGAGGAGAAAGUCAAUUUCAUUAUUUUUGGAUGAACUAGACUUUCGGGUGUAAUAAAAUUACGGUAAACCAAACAACGAAAGUGGUCAGUUUUUACCGAAAAUUACUUUCCUCUUCCAACUUCCACCCUAUUUCCGUGCAAACAAACAGGC
rnacentral:lncRNA from 1 species